GGUGUGGUGGACUAAUGGUAGCUCGUUGGAUGCCGGAUCGAGCGGUCCAGGUUCGAGCCCUGGCCUGGUUCA